CGGACAGACAGGCACCCGUGAAACACAGGUAAGUUGCUCAGAAGCAUGUAUUGCAAAUAUGAAAAGACAACUGACAUCAAACUUUCAUUUCUCAUUUAUUAAUGUAUAUUACAUACAAAAUAAUGAACAGCCAUGUUGGGUAAGACCUGCAGGCAAGUUCAUUAUAAACUGAUCCUAAAAGAUUUACAAUUUGAAGGUUGUCAGGUUUCUAGCACUACUGAAAAUGUUUUGUUCAAGGCACAAUACAGGCUCCAGUUUCUUUCCAUCUAAGAUACACUAAGCGGACAAAAAUAUUGGGACACCAAAAGGGACUUUUAUGACAUUGCAUUCUAAAUACAUAGAUAUUAAUAUGUAGUCUGUCCCCACUUUGCAGCUAUAACAGCUUCCACUCUUCUGAGAAAGCUUUCCACCAGAUUUUAAAGUGUUUCCAUGGAAAUUUUGCGUAUUCAUCCAGGAGAGCAUUUGAGGUCAGGUACUGAUGUUGGACAAGAAGGCCUGGCUCGUAAUCUCCCCUCCAAGCCAUCCCAAAUAUAUUUAAUGGGGUUGAGGUCAGGGCUCUGUGCAUUCCAGUCAAGAUUUUCA